rnacentral:rRNA from 1 species
UGAGGAAUAUUGGUCAAUGGGCGCAAGCCUGAACCAGCUAUCCCGCGUGCAGGAAGACGGCCCUAUGGGUUGUAAACUGCUUUUCCAGGGGGAGAAUUUUUCUGUCGUGACAGGAAUUGACGGUACCCUGGGAAUAAGCAUCGGCUAACUCCGUGCCAGCAGCCGCGGUAAUACGGAGGAUGCGAGCGUUAUCCGGAUUUAUUGGGUUUAAAGGGUGCGUAGGCGGAUAGAUAAGUCAGUGGUGAAAACCUGCAGCUUAACUGUAGACUUGCCGUUGAUACUGUCAGUCUUGAGUAUGGUCAAGGUAGGCGGAAUGUGUAAUGUAGCGGUGAAAUGCUAAGAUAUUACACAGAACACCGAUUGCGAAGGCAGCUUGCUGGGCCAUUACUGACGCUGAGGCAUGAAAGCGUGGGGAGCAAACA